GAACGCACCUUGCACCCUUUGGUAUUCCGAAGGGUAUGCCUGUUUGAGUGUCAUUAAAUUCUCAACCAUUGAACUUGUUUCUCUGGCUUGGAUGUGGGGGUUGCGGGCUUCGCAAGAGGUCGGCUCUCCUUAAAUGCAUUAGUGGAUACCGCUUGCAGGAUUCAUUCACUUUUUGGUGUGAUAGUAUCGUCGUCAAAGGUAGUGUUUCCGAGGUAUCUGCUCUCUAACUGUCCGCAAGGACUCUAUAAUGACUUGUUUGACCUCAAAUCAGGUAGGACUACCCGCUGAACUUAAG
rnacentral:misc_RNA from 1 species